GAGCAAUGAUGAAAAAGGUUUGACUACUGACCUUUGUAAUUAUGAAGGUUUCUACACUUGAUCUGAGCUCA